rnacentral:rRNA from 1 species
CGGAGUCGCUAGUAACUCGCGAUCAGCAACGCCGCGUGAAUGCGUUCCCGGGCUUGUACACAUCCCCGCCGCCCGUCCAAGUCAUGAACAGUGGGGUAGCACCCGAAGCCGGUGGCCCGACCCUCCCGUGGGGGAGGCCCCGUUCUAAGGUGAGUAACUCGUGAUUGUGGGACUAAGUCGUAACAAAGGUAGCGCGUACCGGAAGGUGGCGGCUGGAAUCAGGCCUUUUCCUUUCUAGCGGAGA